rnacentral:rRNA from 1 species
AUUGAACGCUGGCGGCAUGCCUUACACAUGCAAGUCGAACGGCAUCGCGGGAAAGCUUGCUUUCCUGGCGGCGAGUGGCGAACGGGUGAGUAACACAUCGGAACGUACCGGCUAGUGGGGGAUAACCCGUCGAAAGACGUGCUAAUACCGCAUACGCUCUUCGGAGGAAAGCAGGGGACCUUUGGGCCUUGCGCUAGUCGAGCGGCCGAUGUCCGAUUAGCUAGUUGGUGGGGUAAAGGCCUACCAAGGCGACGAUCGGUAGCGGGUCUGAGAGGACGAUCCGCCACACUGGGACUGAGACACGGCCCAGACUCCUACGGGAGGCAGCAGUGGGGAAUCUUGGACAAUGGGGGCAACCCUGAUCCAGCAAUGCCGCGUGGGUGAAGAAGGCCUUCGGGUUGUAAAGCCCUUUCGGCAGGGAAGAAAUCGGCGGGGCGAAUAACCCUGCUGGAUGACGGUACCUGCAGAAGAAGCACCGGCUAACUACGUG